AGUGGGGAAUAUUGCGCAAUGGGGGAAACCCUGACGCAGCGACGCCAUGUGAGGGAUGAAGGCUUUCGGGUCGUAAACCUCUGUCAGGAGGGAAGAAACUGUUUGUGGUUAAUACCCACUUUCACUGACGGUACCUCCAGAGGAAGCACCGGCUAACUCCGUGCCAGCAGCCGCGGUAAUACGGAGGGUGCGAGCGUUAAUCGGAAUCACUGGGCGUAAAGCGCGCGUAGGCGGCCUGAUAAGUCAGGUGUGAAAGCCCUCGGCUCAACCGGGGAAUUGCACUUGAUACUGUCAAGCUUGAGUAUCGGAGAGGAUGGCGGAAUUCCAGGUGUAGGAGUGAAAUCCGUAGAUAUCUGGAGGAACACCAGUGGCGAAGGCGGCCAUCUGGACGAUAACUGACGCUGAGGUGCGAAAGCGUGGGGAGCAAA
rnacentral:rRNA from 1 species